rnacentral:rRNA from 1 species
UACGUAGGGUGCGAGCGUUGUCCGGAAUUAUUGGGCGUAAAGGGCUCGUAGGCGGUUUGUCGCGUCGGGAGUGAAAUCCACUGGCUUAACUGGUGGCUUGCUUUCGAUACGGGCAGACUGGAGGUAUGCAGGGGAGAACGGAAUUCCUGGUGUAGCGGUGAAAUGCGCAGAUAUCAGGAGGAACACCAGUGGCGAAGGCGGUUCUCUGGGCAUGUCCUGACGCUGAGGAGCGAAAGUGUGGGGAGCGAACAGG